ensembl:snRNA U2 U2 spliceosomal RNA
AUCGCUUCGGCCUUUUGGCUAAGAUCAAGUGUAGUAUCUGUUCUUAUCAGUUUAAUAUCUGAUACGCCCCCGAUUCGGGGGCAACGUAUUAAACGCAUUUUUAGAACAGGGAGCUGAAUAAGGGGCUCGCUCCGUUCGCUCCACGCAUCGACCCGGUAUUGCAGCGCCUCCGGGAACGGUGCCCCCUUU